rnacentral:rRNA from 1 species
GACGUAGGGGGCGAGCGUUGUCCGGAUUUAUUGGGCGUAAAGCGCGCGUAGGCGGCUGCGCAAGUCGGUUGUGAAACCCCGGGGCUCAACCCCGGAACUGCAUCCGAUACUGCGUGGCUAGAGGUAGGUAGGGGAGAUCGGAAUUCCUGGUGUAGCGGUGAAAUGCGCAGAUAUCAGGAGGAACACCGGUGGCGAAGGCGGGUCUCUGGGCAUCUCCUGACGCUGAGGCGCGAAAGCGUGGGGAGCAAACGGG